AGUGGGAUAGCUGGGUCAAAUGGUGGUUUCAUCCCAAGUUUUCCAAGGAAUCUCCAUACUGCUUUCCAGAUUGGCUGCACCAAUUUGCAGUCCCAUCAGCAAU
rnacentral:pre_miRNA from 1 species